rnacentral:miRNA from 1 species
UAUCAGGUUGGUGCAAAAGUAAUGCGGCUUUUGCCAUUAUUUUUAAUUAUUUAGUUUUAAUGGCCAAAACCUCAAUUACUUUUGCACCAACCUAAUAGAUGC